rnacentral:rRNA from 1 species
AUCGAACGCUGGCGGCAGGCUUAACACAUGCAAGUCGAGCGGGGUGAAGGUGCUUGCACUAUCACUUAGCGGCGGACGGGUGAGUAAUGCUUAGGAAUCUGCCUAUUAGUGGGGGGCAACAUCUCGAAAGGUAUGCUAAUACCGCAUACGUCCUACGGGAGAAAGCAGGGGAUCACUUGUGACCUUGCGCUAAUAGAUGAGCCUAAGUCGGAUUAGCUAGUUGGUGGGGUAAAGGCCUACCAAGGCGACGAUCUGUAGCGGGUCUGAGAGGAUGAUCCGCCAAACUGGGACUGAGACACGGCCCAGACUCCUACGGGAGGCAGCAGUGGGGAAUAUUGGACAAUGGGGGGAACCCUGAUCCAGCCAUGCCGCGUGUGUGAAGAAGGCCUUAUGGUUGUAAAGCACUUUAAGCGAGGAGGAGACUCUUUUGGUUAAUACCCAAGAUGAGUGGACGUUACUCGCAGAAUAAGCACCGGCUAACUCUGUGCCAGCAGCCGCAGUAACAC